UGCAGUCGAGCGAAGCUUUCGGGCUUAGCGGCGGACGGGUGAGUAACGCGUGGGAACGUGCCCUUUGGUACGGAAUAGUCCUGGGAAACUGGGUUUAAUACCGUAUAUUCUCUACGGAGGAAAGAUUUAUCGCCAAAGGAUCGGCCCGCGUUGGAUUAGGUAGUUGGUGGGGUAAUGGCCUACCAAGCCGACGAUCCAUAGCUGGUUUGAGAGGAUGAUCAGCCACACUGGGACUGAGACACGGCCCAGACUCCUACGGGAGGCAGCAGUGGGGAAUCUUAGACAAUGGGGGCAACCCUGAUCUAGCCAUGCCGCGUGAUCGAUGAAGGCCUUAGGGUUGUAAAGAUCUUUCGCUGGGGAAGAUAAUGACGGUACCCAGUAAAGAAGCCCCGGCUAACUCCGUGCCAGCAGCCGCGGUAAUACGGAGGGGGCUAGCGUUGUUCGGAAUUACUGGGCGUAAAGCGCGCGUAGGCGGAUUGGAAAGUUGGGGGUGAAAUCCCGGGGCUCAACCCCGGAACUGCCUCCAAAACUAUCAGUCUGGAGUUCGAGAGAGGUGAGUGGAAUUGCGAGUGUAGAGGUGAAAUUCGUAGAUAUUCGCAGGAACACCAGUGGCGAAGGCGGCUCACUGGCUCGAUACUGACGCUGAGGUGCGAAAGUGUGGGGAGCAAACAGGAUUAGAUACCCUGGUAGUCCACACCGU
rnacentral:rRNA from 1 species